ACACAACAGCAUCUAUAGCCUUUAUAAAACUCCCAGGAACUGCCUUAAGGAAAUAAUCGACGGGCUCAUGAGGAUUCCCCCUAAAGCUAUACCCCUCAGGUAAUCCAUCCCAUACAUUAAAAGGCUUAAUUUUAUCAUGGUUUUUGCUAAAAGUUGAGUUGUUUGAUUGUUGGGUGCUAAGGAAGGAAAACAUGGUGUCGGGGCAAGCGUCUGAUAGUUGACGGGUAAUGUUGAGAAGAGGGACCGCAUGGGUGCCGAAAGGGAAAGCCAACACUGCUAUGUGUUUAGAAGCAUUCUUGUAGCCUUCCAUUGGAUAUUCUUUCUCUAUUCUCUCUGCAAAGAUAAGAAGGGACUUGUUUUUCUCCAAGCUUGUGAGUUAUGGAAAUAGAUGAACUGUACUUAUACUAGUAAAGGGAAAACAAGAAACAAUUAAGGCCGAUAGUUAGGGACUUAAAGUAUGCGGGACAUAAAAUAUGUGGUUUUACAAGCAACCGUCAUUUUCACUCUUCAAAAAGUAGACUUAGUUGAAUGCCAUGUUACGUGGAAAUUUAAGUUCCAUUAAUUGGUUAAUGUAAAAAUUAUUAUUUGAUGUGGAUUGAGUUUUAGUUCGAUUAGUGCGAGUAUUACUGUUAAUGUAGAAGAAGAUGAAUUUGAGUUAUAGGUUGUGGAAAGACUAGUAUUCUGUUAAAAAGAGUACAAUAUUAUUUAAUUAAUGAGAAAAAAUUAGAAUUUAAUUUGUUUUCUUUUUCCAAAAAGUUAAUUUAGUUUAUUUAAAUAAAGUUAAUCUAACUAUAUAUCAUAAGUGAAACUUUUAUGUAAUAAAAUUUAUAAAAAAGUUGGUAUAAUAAUUAAAUAUGAAUUUAGUUAAAAUAGUAAAGUUAAGGUAAUAAAGACUAUUGUAUUUUGGGUUUAAAUCUUGUUACGUAUAUAUUUUUCUAGAUUUUAUAUAAAAUUGUAAAAUAAUAAAAAUGUCUUUAAAAAUAUAUUUGUAGCUUUAUAAAAAAAUAGAGUAAAUUCCAUUCAUAAUUAUUCUUAAAUAGAGUUUGUCAUAUUUUGGUCACUAAUUUUUUUUAAUUUAAUCAUUCUAAUUAAAGGAAUUUACAAAUUAGUCACUGUCGUUAAAUUUUCUGUCACCCUCUAACAGAUUGCACAAUAAUCAAUCCACCUAAAUUUUUUCCAUGUAAUCCUCUACGAUUAUUUGCUUAUUUAUAAAUUUGAUGUGUUUUGUGCAAAUGUUGAUCGAAAAUAUAUAUAUUUUUUUGUAAAUUAUAAAGAGGAGGGUAAAGCCUUAACAGCAAUGUGACUAGCAUGACUCGAAUUUAAGCUACACUCGAAGCGAUAAACACUCUGAUUAUUAGGCUACCAUACGAGGUUCAAUUGAAAAUAAUUUUGAAACAUGGUUCAUGUGUUAUUUUCCAUAGAUUGUGCCGUUUGAGGGUUUGUUUGUUAUGGGUUUUGUGCGAAUGUUGAGAUAAUUAUUUUAGUUUAGGUUCUUGUUUGUUUUUGUUGUAUUGAAAAGUGCAUGUAUUGUUAGAGCUUGGGAAUGAAACUUUUGUUUAGAUUGUUGAGUUAAUCGUGGUCGGGGUUGUUGAUGCACUAAAAAUUGAUGAAAUAUGGACUGAUAUAAGAGGAGAUGGCCUGCCAUUUUUGAAUUAUUACUGGUGUAAAUUUUUUGGUCUUUGUGCGCAGUGUCAUAUAAUAGAAAAUUAAUAGGAAGUUGGACCAUGUGGUCCAUGGCUUUUUCUACUUGCAAAUGAAGAAAAAGGUAGGUGAGAAAGUUUGUAAUAAUUAGCUUUUCAGUAGUGUUGGAAAAGUCAGUUUCGAAAUUUUAUUUUCGUAAAUUGUGUAUAGAGUUGGUGUUAAAAUAUAUUAAAGUUUGAUCUAAUAAUUUUGUUGAACUAAUAGAUAAUUUAGGUGCAAAGAUUAAAUUGUAAAAAAUUAAUCAUUAUAGAUUUUUAAUUAGCUAAAUGUUCAAAAUUGUAAAUAAACUAUUUUGUUACAUCAAAUAGCGGAUGAUACGUUAACAUCCUCUAAUUUUGAUUAAUGUUUAAUUAAUUAAUGUUUAAUGAAUUAAGAUUUAAACCAAGUAUAUAAAGGUGAGAUAGUGCAAAAUUGUCAUAUUUCUUUCUUCUUCUCCACCGUUUGAACAUGAAAACCUAAGGGAAAGACCAUUUUUUAACUCAAAGCAAUUGAUCCCUAAUUGGUAAGCUUUUCCAAGUCAUUUUUUUAUAAUUUUUAUGUGUUUGAGGUCACGGGAGCUCGAUUUAGCUAGCCCAUGUACCAAUUUACAAAACUAUUGAAGUUUUUAAAAGUUUUCAUUGUUGAUUUCUUGAAUAAAUUGGUGUUAACUUGAUAGAUUUUAAGCUUAGAUUAUGAAAAAGGACUAGAUUGUAAUGUUUAAUUGAUAGUUUUGUACAUAAGGACUAAAGUGAAUAAAAUGUGAAAUUGAGGUGGAAUUUUGGUAUAAAUAGAGAGUAGAAGGUUUGUAAUGAAUGUAAUUAAAUUCAGAUUUUAAAGUCAGGCUUAAAAUUGAAAGAUAUUGUCAUUUCGAUUUUAGGGACUAAAUUGACUAAAAAGUAAACAUUUAGGUGUAUCAAAAAAUAAGAUUGUAUAGGUUCAUUCAUGUCAUAGCAUAUUGCAUAAAUUUUUUAUUUUGACGGAUUGGAUGGAAUAAGUGUAUAGAAAAGAAUUGGAUCAAACCGGUAAUAAUCCAAGAAAAAACCAAAAUUGUCAAUUAGUCCCUGAAGAUUCAACUUGUUUGUUGUUUUGGCCAAGUAAGCUCAUAUGGUAUUUAUUUAUAUAGAUUGUUGUGUAUUAUUGUGAUUAUAUAAGUGUUUGGUUGUGAAUUUGAUCAAAAGGUGAGAUUUGGACUAAAUUGAAAAGUAAUGUUAAUAUGUGUAAUAGAUGCCCAUAUGAACUUAGUAAAAGUUAGGAUACGGUUGGCAUGCCAAUAGGAUUUUGUGCACACCUUUACGAGAUUGAUUACAGAUGUUACCAAGAUCCAACAUUUGUUAUGGACUCGCAAAUACAUUUAACACAGGUUUAGCUCGGACGAGUAACCUGAUGUCAUGUUAAAGGGUUAGCUCGGACAGGUAACUUGACAUGUAUGUAUACUUAGCUUGGAUAAACAUUCAGAUGUGUUGAUAUAAAGGUUUAGCCCAAAUGGGUAACCUGACACGAAUAUAUAUAUUCAUCUCGGACAAGCAACUGGUGUGGUGUAAUUACCUGUGUAUCCAAGUCUGUUUUCUAGGGUUCAUUGGGUGAAAUAGUUUAUAUGAAAUGAAAAUUAAUGAUGUUGAUGUUCACUUAAAUAAAUGUUGAAUUGAACUUGAAUAAUGUAUUGGAAAAAUGUCAUGAAUAUGUAUAUGAUUACAUUAUCCCUUGAAUGAAUGAGUUUGGAAUCAGUUAUACAAAAUGACAUGAAUUGGUAUGGUAAGUGAUUGAGUUGCCAUGUGGUUUGAUUACAUGUUAAUACUCACCUUAUUGAUGCUUUGCUUUGCCAUGUUUAGCCAAACCAUGUCAAGUUAAGGUUGUUUAUUGUAUUUAGAUAGAAUAUGAGGUAAGUUUUGUUUAAUGCCUAUGAACAGCAUCUUAUAUGCUUACCUAGUUUGUUUUCGUAACAACCCGAUAGUCACGAGUGUCGAAAAGUACAUUUCUGAAACUCCGUUACCGUAAAUCAAACUCGUAAAUAUUUAUUAAAAAUAUUGACGAAGUUAGUUGUGUAGUUAAUUAGGUUUUCGUUAGGUGAAAUUGCAUGAAUUAAGAGUAACUAGGUAAAAAAAAGACUAAAUUGUAUAAAAGGUGAAAGUUGAAUUUUAGAUUAAAGAAAAAUUAAAGGGACCAAAGGAGCAAUUAUGCCAAUGGUCAUUAUUAAGGCUGCAUAAGUGUAUAUAUAUUAUAAAUACUUAAAGUUAAUAUAUAUAUUAUAAUAUUAUAAUAUUAAAACUUAAAAGUUAAGUAUAUAUAUUAUUAUAUUAUAAUGAUAAAGUAAAAGAAAAAGAAAUAGAAAAAGAAGGAGAGAAAGAAACGAAACAGAGAAGGAAACGAAAUAGAGAAGGAAAGAAAGAAAAGAAAGAAGGAGAAAAGUUAGGGUUUCAAGGGUUCAAAGCUCAAUUGGUUAGUCAAUUUAGUCCAUUUUCUUGUAAUUUUUAUGUUUUUGGAAUUCCGGUAUUAAAUACUACCCGACCCAUGUCAAAAUUUUAGAAAUAUUAAGUUUUUAACUGAUGUUUAUGUUGAAUAAUUUUAGUAUUAGAUAUUAAAUUGAUAGAUUUUUAAGUUAGAAAUGGAAAAGGAUUGAAUUGUAGAAUAAAUUGUAAAUUUUGAGUAUUAGAGACUAAAUUGUGAAAAUUAGAAAUUUAAGGAUUUAAGUGAAAUUAUGGAGUUAAAUCUAGUCUAAAGUGGAAUUUGUAUGAAAAUAUAAGAUUGAUUGUGAAGAAAUAAAAUUAGUCUCGGUUUAGGGACUAAAUUGGAAUUUAGGCAAAUAUUGAGUAAAAAUUGAAAUAUUAAAUAUGAGAUUUAAUUGUGUUGUAUUGAUGAAUUUUAAUUGUUUUAAUUCCGUAGCUAACGUCAUACCAGAAUCCUUAACUAAAAAGAGAAAAGAUAAAUUCGACGAGGAAUAGCUCGAAAUUUCUAGUUUGUAUUUCUAUAAUCCAAAGCUAGUUAUUAAUUGUUGUAAUAUUUAUUUAAUGUAUAUGGUAAGUGUUGAGGUGAGUAAUUGAUAUUUUGAUAUUUGAUUGAAUGAAUUGAAUUGGUAGAUAUAUGUAUUGAAUGGAUUGAUUUUUUUUGAAUUGAAAUGAAUAUAUGUGAAAUUAAACCCUAUUAACUGUAUCGGGUUGAGUCAGAUAUAGAUGGCAUGCCAUAGGAUUGGAAGAGUUUAGGGAUUUAUUCGACGUCGAGUCGAUGAGACACUGGGUGUCAAUUUAUUACUUCGGAUUAAUUCGAUGAGGCACUGGGUGCCAAUUUACUUCAGUUUAACUGAUGAGACACUGGGUGUCAAUUUAUUACUUCGAAUUAUCCGAUGAGGCACUGGGUGCCAAACUGGUGUGUUUUGGUUGGAUUCGUGUAUCCGUUUGAGUCCGAGUCAUGUUAAUAGGGGUAAAUGAAUAAUAAAGUCUUAUAAUUGAUAUUGAAAUGGAAUGAUAUGAGAAAUGAAGUGGAAUAGUGAAUUGAAUAUGGUAUGUAUAAAGCAAUUGCAUAAAUGAAAUGUGAUUAAAAUUGUGAAAAGUUAUUUCUAUAGCAAGUGAUGGAAAAUUUAGUAUUGUAUGGUUUUAAAUGUUCAAUUGUGCUUAACAUUUUAUUAUACAUAUUAUAUUGUUUUAUUUUUAAAUAUUCGGAUUAUAGAAAUACCACUGAGUUUUUACUCAGCGUACGGUUUUGUUUUUCGUGCGCAAGUUAGGUACUUAAUUUUGAUCGCCGAUUCAGUAUCCAACAACGAUCCUGAACUCAAACAUGGUGAUGUUUUUCUUUUUGUGUUGGCAUGUACUUAGGGUGUCUAAAUAUUAAUCAUUUUGCUGAUUGAUUGUAAAUAAGAUUAUAAGUUAAUAUUGGAUGGUUAUAUACAUAUAAAUAUGUGUUUAUGUUUAUGUUUGAGGUCAUAUUAUGACAAAUUUUAGUUAAUGUUUAAAUGAACAUGAAAUGGGUAAAAUAAAUUGAAAUUGGCAUGUUUACAAAUUGGAUUUGAAUGAUGUUUUAUUGGUAUGUUUUGAUGAUAUAAUUGUGGUACCUAUGAGGAUACAUUGGUUAGGCACCUAGGAUGAUUGUUUUGACAUAUUUUGGAUGUGUUUGAUUGUGGUUUGAAUUGGUUAAACGAAUGAUUUUUGAGUUGCUUAUUGUUCAAGCUUGCAGGGAAUGGUAAACUUGUUGCUAAAGGUAUAUUUUAAGUCCACACGGCCAGACACACGGGCAUGUGAUUGGACUGUGUGAGACACAUGGCCUGACCACACGGGCGUGUGAACCCUGCAGCUUUAAAAUUUUUUAAUAUUUUUCAAAAAAUUCUCUAAGUCUCCGAAUUAGUCCCGAUUGUUUCUAACGCGUAUUUUGGGCCCCGAGGGCUCAAAUAAUGGACAUUAUGUAUGAAUUUAAUUCGUUUUUGAUCUGAAUAUUAUAUGAUAUCAAUAUUUAAAUUUAUGUCUAUUUGAUUGACAAGCUUCAGUAAUGCUCUGAAACCUUAUUCCGGUGAAGGAUGUGGGUUAGGGAUGUUACAGUUUUCCUUUUCCCUUGUAGGUCGUCACCUUGCAAAACUUGUCAAGCCAGAUCGUUUUAAAGCUCACACUAUCCUAUCACAACAGCUUUUUAUUUAUUUAUAUUGAGUCAGUAUUGUGGCUUGUAUAUUAGGUUAAGGUGUUAAUGAAAUGGUCACUUUCUAAUUCAUAUGGAAUGUAUGAUGUUGUGGCAAAUGUGGAAUGUAUGAAAGGUUUGGUAUGUAAUAUAUGGUGUAUGGAUCAACUAUGCUUGAUGUGGUUUAGUACAUGAUUUUAAACUUGAACAUGUCAUGUAGAUAUGCUAUAAAUUACAUAUAGAUGAUAUGGUAAGUUGAAUGAGUAUAUAAGCUUAUAUGUUUGUCCUUAUAAUGAAAAUGAGAUGGCUUGUUUGAAUAUGAAUUGACAUAGUGAAGAUUGGUAUUUGGUUGGUUGGUUUGGAUAAACAGAUAGUUUUGUAAUAGGUUGAGCUUAUAUCGAAUUGGUUUUGAUUAGAAAUGUUUAAAUGACUUGUUUUGGUAUGAAAUGUUAUGAGUUUGGAAUGUUUUUAGGUGAGCAUAAUGGUUGGUUUGAUUGGAAAUUGUGAAAUAGGUACCAAAUGACUCAUUUUUAUCAUACAGGGUCUUCAUCUUGAUAAGCAUCUUCCCUCAUCGCAACAUUGGCUGACAGUAUGUGACGUCACGACAUCGAGUAGCCUGACGUCGUGAUGUGACAUACUAUUUUGGCGACAUAACGACGUGGAAAAGAUGAUGUCACAACGGUAAUGGUGAAUGGUGAAUGGCAACAACGGUCAUGGUGAUUGAUGACCAAAAACUGAAAAAAAGUUUCUAAUUUUUGGGUUUUUGAGAGAUUUAUAGAGAGAAUGAGAUGUGAGAGGGGGGGAGUGAACAUUGGCAAUUAAGUUUUAUGUUGGCACAUAUCAGAAAUUGAAAGCAUGCAAGCAGUAGAUGCCGACAAAAACAGUGGUGGAAGUCACAAUAAAUUUUUGUAGAUUUGGAGUUUUGUGAUUAAUUUUAAGAAAAAACCAAGAUGGGAAAGAAAAAAGAGGAGAACUGGAUGAUUAUUUUGGUGAAGAAUGACAUGAUUCUGGAUUGUUCACUGUUGGGGUGGCAAUCGUUACUGAAAUUUGGAAUUUAAAAAUGAUUUUUUUGGCAAACAAUGAAGAUUCUGUUUGAAUGUUCUUCCCAAAGUAAAGAGAGAGGCAGCACAUUUAACGCUUUUGGUUUUUUAAUAUUUUUACAAAAAUAAAAACAUAAUUUAAUUUAUUAAGGGAAUAUUCAUCAUUGAGUACUUUUUGUGCUAUUACAUAUCUAUCCCUUUCAGUCAAACACACGAAUACUAUUACAAUAGUCAUUCCAUUAUAUCCAACUAAACCAUUGAUAUGCUUAUGAUCUAUUUCAUUACAGUGUUAUUCUAUUCCUAUAGAAUGACUAUUCCAUUACAACCUUUUUCCAAUUCAGUGAACCGAACGUGUCGUAAGGUAAGUGAUUGAUUUCAUUAUGUGGUUACCAUCAAAGAUCCCCGACAAUAUCUCAUUCAAUCCCCCUACAAUUUUUCCUUUUCUUUCUUCACUAAAAACUUGUUUUCCCCUUUCAUUUUUAUUUCUUUGAUAUUUUCCAUCAAGCUUUGGGAACUUCGUUUUGCUCUCUUGAUAUCAAGAAUAAAAGGUAGGAGAUUAUUGAAAUUAAAUUAUAUAUUUUUACGAUAAUAAAAAUGUAAAAAAUUUAAAAUUUAAUACGAAAAUUAAAGAAUUAUAUUUUUUAAUAUGUUGUUCAAAAAUCUGAAUUUUAUUUAUUUAUUUCUGGUAGAAAAUAAUUAGAUUAGAGUAUCAUUAAUGUUAUUUAUGGAAAUUUAAGAUUGACUAUUCUUUAUUAAAAUAUACAACUACUUGUUACUAUUCAAAUAUGCAAAAACCGAUUUAGGCUUUUGUUUUUCUUUUUGUUUCAUGAUGAUGAUGAUGGUACCGAUCCCACAUAUGCACUAGUGCUGGUAUAUGUUAGGGCAAGCACAGCAUAUCAAUAAGGAAAUGUUGGUAGAGGAAAGCCUUGGACCGGAAUUACCAACCUCAAGAUGUUUGGUCAACAAUAUUUUAAUCAUCCACUAACUUGGUGGUAAGUGUUAGAGACAAGUUUCACCAGUGUUUUGAAAUUUUCAUUAGAGCUACGAUUGGGUUUAACAGCCUUGCAAGCCAGCUCUUUUUGAACUCUAAUUUUCUCUUUCAUUUUCUUCCCUUCUUGGCUGCACAAUAUCAACUUCAAUGCUUUCUUUGCUCCUUCUUUUGUCAAUGUUCCACCUUCUAACCCCAACCCGAAUCCCCAUACAACCUCCACUGUACGAGUGUUCAAUUGUUGGUCUCCAAAAAAUGGCCUGCAGAUCAUAGGCACACAUCCAUUAAUACUUUCCAGGACUGAAUUCCAUCCACCAUGACUUACAAAAACCCCAACUGAUGGAUGUUCCAAUAUUUUCUGCUGCGGAGCCCAUGGAACUAUCUUUCCUUCGGAGCUGGUUCUUUCCAGGAAUCCUAGUGGCAGCUGUUUCUCAGGACUUCCCCUCAAAGACCAAAGAUAUGGAAACUCACAUUCUUCCAGGGCUUCACAUAAUGCAUGUAGCUCAUGGGGUGGUGGGGUUAUCACGCUUCCAAAGCUGAUGUAUACCACCGACGCUGCCUCAUGCUUGCUCAUCCAAUCCAAGGUCCCAUGCGAGUCAUCCACUGUGGAACUGGAAACUGAUACCAGAUUGAAGGGACCAACGUUGAGGAACGUACUGAAUCUUAAUUUCAGCAUGUUCACCACUGUAUUAUCCAAGUCUUCAUAUGAAUUUGUGGCAACUGCCGCGGCGCGUGACAGUGACACUCCCAUUUUAUACAACAAUGCCGGCAUGGGGGCGUCAAUGUCUCCGGAGGUUAAUCCAUUGGGUAAGUCAGCAACACGUAUGCUAGAAAAAUGGGGAAGAAAAUGAAGUGGUUUGUCUUUAGGACCUGCAAAUUUAUGAAUAUUCAUAUUUUUUCAGCACCCAAUUUUUUUUUAAAGAUUAAAGUAUAAUUUUAUUGUAUACUAAUUUAAAAUUUUAUAAAUUAUAAAAUGGAAUUAAUUUUUAAAUUUUUAUUAUAGUUAAUUUUUUUAUAUUUUUUUAUUUAAGUUUUUUUUCUUUGAUUAAAGUUUUUAAUUAUGUAAGUUAAUUAAAGAGCAGAAAGGAUAUAUGAUGAGUGUCUAAAAAUUAAGAAUUUUAGAAUCUUUCUAAUAUAAGUUAUAGGUUAACAUAUUAAAAAAAUCCUUAAACUAUUCUACUUUGUUUAAACAAUCCCUUAUACUAUUUUAUUAUUUUUGUACUUAAAUAAACCCCUAAACUAUGAUUUUUACCCACAAAAGUUCUUGAUUUUAAUACUGAAGGUAAAAAUAUUUAAAAAAUUUAAACUAAUUUGCAUUUUAUGUUGAUGUGAAUUUUUUGAGAAUAUUUUAUUAAAUAAAAAUAAAAAAUAUUUUAAAAAUUCUUGAAAGUGCUUAUAUAUAAAACACAAUUAAUUACUCUUUUAAAAAUUUUGAUUACUUUCUAAAAUUAUAUGUUGAUGUUAAAAUGUAUAUAAUUUCUAUUGCAUCAAUAAGAAAUUAAGAUAAGAGCUUGAAAUUUAAAAUAUAUUUAUUUUAAUAUUAAAAUCAAGAACUUUUAUGAGAAAAAAAAAUAGGUUCGAGUUUAUUUAACUACAAAAAUAAUACUAUAAUAGUUUAAUGGAGAUUUUUUUUAAAAAUAUAUUAGCUUUCUGUAAAUUCUUCAAAAAUCCUAUUGUUUGCAAUUAAUAUGCUUCACAGUCAAAUAUUUAAUUAAUUGAUUUUGGACCAACCAGCCUACCAAAAGUCUUAUUGUUAAUUGUAACAAUAAUAAAGUUUUUCUCUUUCAUGCAUGAAAUUGGUAAGUUUACGAGCUAGUAUGUUAAAACCUACCUACCUAAUAAAAACCAUCAAUAUCCUACCUCUCACAAAAAAGGGAUUCAAAAGUUAUUAAGCUAGUUAGGGUGAGUAAAUUUUUUUUUGAGAUUAAAAUUAAAUUGUAUAAUUUUACCAUUUUAAUAAUCUAUAUCGUAUGAAUCCUUACCGUUAAUUCCUACAUAGUGGCGAAUAAUAUCGGAGUUGACAUGAACGAAGAGUGCCCUGGGACUAGCAGUCCAAAGAGCCACCCAAGGGAUGUUAAGCUCAUCCGCGAUAUCAGCCCCAAACGCAUAAAAUGCAUCUGUUAUCAAAAAAUCAAUUGGUUUACCAGUUUCAAACACAACAACAUCUAUAGCCUUCAUAAAAUUUCUAGGUACCGCCUUAAGGAAAUAGUCGACAGGCUCGUGAGGGUUCCCCCUAAAAGUAUACCCCUUAGGUAAUCCAUCCCAUACAUUAAAAGACUUAAUUUUAUCAAGAUUUUUGGGAAAAGUUGAGUUGUUUGAUUGUUGGGUGCUAAGGAAGGAAAAAAUGGUGUGGGGGCAGGCGUCUGAUAGCUGGCGGACGAAGUUGAGAAGAGGGACAGCAUGGGUGCCGAACGGGAAAGCCAACACUACUAUGUGUUUAGAAGCAUUCCUGUAACUUUCCAUUGGAUAUUCUCUGAGGGAAUUUCUUGUUCUCCAAGAUUUGUGAGUUAUGAAAAUUAGAUGAAAAACUAUACUUAAACUAAUAAGAAAAAACAAGUUUUGGUUGAUAGUUUGCAUUACGUUGGGACUUGAAAUAUGUGGUUUUGUACAUGCAACCAUCAUUUUCAUUUUUCCAGAAACCAAUGUUAGUUGUAGGGAUUGUUACGUCCAAAUUUAAGUUCCAUUAGUUAGUUAAUUUAAAAGAAUUCCUUUGGUGUGAUGUAAUUACUUGUGUAUCCAAGUUCGUUUUCUAGGGUUCAUUGGGCGAAAUAGUUUAUAUGAAAUGAGAUAUUUGAAAUGAGAAUUAAUGACGUUGAUGUCCACUUGAAGAAAUGUUGAAUUGAACUUGAAUAAUGUAUCAGAAAAAUGUCAUGAAUAUGUAUGUGAGUACAUUAUCCCUUGAAUGAAUGACUUUGGAAUCAAUUAUACAAAAUGACAUGAAUUGGUAUGGUAAGUGAUUGAGUUGCCAUGUGGUUUGAUUACAUUUUAGUAUCACCUUAUUGAUGCUUUGCUUUGCCAUGUUUAGUCAAACUAUGUCAAGUUAAGGUUGUUUAUUGUAUUUAGAUAAAAGAUGAGGUAAGUUUUGUUUAAUACCUAUGAACUUAUUAAACAUCCUAUAUGUUUACCUAGUUUGUUUUCCCUUUCUCUUAUAGGUCGUCACCUUGCGGAACUUGUCAAGCCAACUCAUUUUGAAGCUCACACUAUCCUAUCACUGAAUUAGUAGCUUUUUUGUUUUUAUCAUUUUGAGUCAGGAUUGCGCCAUGUAUAUACUGUAACACCCCUAACCCGUAUCCGACGCCGAAAUAGGGUUACGGAGCAUCACCAGACUUAAAGAUCAAACAAUCAUACAUUUCAUUUGCAUAACACAUUUGAUUUAGAAACCAAUCAAAUUCGUUCAUAUAGUCCCUAAUAUGAGUCCUCGAGGCCCAAAAUAGACAUUAAAAACAAGUCGUGACUAAACUGAGAACUUAAAGAAAUAUUUCGGAAAACAUAGAAAAUUUUCAAAGUGCAGGGGAUACACGACCGUGUCUCAGGCCGUGUGGGUAAUCGAAAUAGGGACACACAGCCGUGUCUUAGACCUUGUCCGCACCUGUGUAACUCACUGACUUGGGUCACACGGCCAAGCCACACGCCCAUGUGCUAGACCAUGUGAAAACUAGAGGGUAUACUGACUUGUGUCACACGGCCAAGUCACACGCCCGUGUGCUAGGCCGUAUGAGGCUACUGACUUGUUUUCUAAAGAGGUUACAGGGGACACACAGCCGUGUCACCUGGCCAUGUGUCACACACGGCUGAGACACAUGCUCCUGUCUCUGCCCGUGUGGACGAAAAUAGGCCAUGUUUCAAGCCAUAUUUCUCACCCAAAUUUGAACCAACCUAAAUCAAUAAUUUGCAUAUAACCAUGACACAUUUAGACAUUUAAAACCAACCAACAUCAAGCUUAUAACACGAUAACAUCACACACAACUAUGAUACUCAUAAGCACCUCCAUUGGCCACUUUAAAACAUAACAAUUAUGCCUACAAAAUCCACAUAAAUGAUCAAACACAUAAAUGCAUUUUCGUGCCUAAAACUUAACAUGUAUAUCACUUAUCAACCUCAACUAUUUGGUACCCAAGAUACCAAUUCACAACUAGCACACACUCACAUUAUAAACAUACACCCAUAUGAUAAGGCCAUUUACACAUAUAAAUAUACAUAACAAAAUAUACCUAAAUACAAGCCAAAAUCAAAUGGCUAAAAACAUGACAAUACAAAUAGACUACCAUUAGCCAAAAUAACCUAUACAUGCCAUUAAAACCAAAAUGCAUAACCAAAAGUACCAAAAUAGUCGAUAGAUAGUGUGAUGAGAUCUCCGACAACUUCCAAUUCAAACGAGCUUUUGAAACACUAUAAAACACGAAAAAUAACACAGAGUAAGCAAUUAAGCUUAGUAAGUUUGUAUAACUAACUAAAAAUAUAACUUACCUUUCAACCACAAUUUAGGCAAGUAAAUUAAAUCAUAACACAAUUCAAUUUGGCUUCAUUAGCCUAACACAUAUCCAACAACCAAGUUAGCAUGAAUUCAUUUGUCAUAUACAUACCAUUUCCAAGUAAUUCACUUAAAUACCUGUAAUAGUUCAUAUCAAACUCAUAUAACUUCGUAACUGAAUUGUUCCCGUUGAACCACUUAGAAUAAUAUCGGAUACGCGGGUAUCUCGCACACUAUGUUUCAAUAUGUGGUCAAAACCACCAUGAUCUCAUUUCAAUGCUCUCUCUCGAGCCAUAACUAGGUCUGCUCACACAAGCUGUCAAUCAAGACGUAGCUACAUGGUGCUGCUCACACAAGCUGUAAAGUAACCGCAACACAUGCUAGAAACUCAACCACCAGUAGGACGUACGAGACUAGCACCCAAAACACGGUAACCCCUAAUGACAUGUCAUUUGUAUCUUAUAUAUUCCUAAGGUUCAAACGAGAUCCGAAAGUCGCCGAAACUUUGUUAGAUAUUUCCGUAGAGUCGUAUCAUCAAGAAUAUAACAUAAAAGCAUUUAAAUAAAACAUAAUUUAAUGCUAUUUAAGUAUACGAACUUACCUCAAACUUGUACGGAGAAAAAUAAUUGUUCAGUCCAAAACUUUAUCUUUUCCCCGAUCUAAUUCUGUAUAUUGCUUUUCUUGAUCUAUAUAAUCAAAUUUAACUAAUUUAAACCUCAUUCUAAUCAAUUCAAUCCAAAAAUCAAGUUUUGGAAAAAUUACCAUUUUGCCCCUAUACCUUUGAUUUCUUUACAAUUUAGUCUCUAGGCUCGUAAAAUGAAAUUCAUGCAAUUUCACUCUUACCCAAGCCUAGACAAAUUCUAUACAUGCUUAUAGCAGCCCAUACAUUUCACAAUUUCACACAUUUACCACACAAUUUAUCACAUUUCUCAAUUUAAUCCCUAAUGACAAUUUCAUCAAAAAUCACUUAACAAAAGUUGUUUAACUCACAAAAAAGAUUCAUUUUAUUCCAUUAAACUUCACAAACAACUAACAUGCAUUCAUGGUAAAAACCUAGACAUUCAACAGUUUUGCAAAUUAGUCCCUAGGCUAGCUAGAUUAUGCUACAACGAUUACGAAAACAUAAAAAUAAUUAAAAACAGAACAAAAAUUACUCACAUGCAAAGAGAUAUCCCUAGCCGAACCUAACAAGAUUCCAUGGGGUUUCUUUCUUUUAUUUUUCGGUGGAAGAAGAAGAACUAAAGAUGAUAUCUUUUGCUUUCCCUUAAUUUACAUUAACAUAUUUAUUGAUUUACUAAAUUAACCUAAUUAAUUAACCUUAUAAUCACUUCAUUUUAUGUCCAACUUUGUCCACUAGUAAUGUUAAUGGUCUAAUUAUCAUAUAAGGACCUUUACUUUAAAGUUCUAUAGCUAUUUAAUACCUUUAGCUAAUAGAACACAACUUUUAUAUUUUACGUGAUUUAGUCUUUUUCAUCAAAUUGAACAUGCAAAUGGUAAAAUUUCUUAUUGAAAUUUUUAUAUGAUAAUACUAUCAUGCUUUAGAUCAUAAAAUAAUAUUAAAAUAAAAUUUUCAAUCUCGUAUUUGUGGUCUCGAAACCACUAUUUCAAUUUCUGAAAACGGGUUAUUACAUAUAUGGUUAAUGUGUUAAUGAAAUGGUCACUUUCUAAUUCAUAUGGUAUGUAUGAUGUUGUGGCAAAUGUGGAUUGUAUGAAAGGUUUUGUAUUUAAUAUAUGGUCUAUGGAUUACCUAUGCUUGAUGUGGUUUAGUACAUGAUUUAAAACUUGAACAUGUCAUGUAGAUAUGCUAUGAAUUACAUAUAGAUGAUAUGGUAAGUUGAAUGAGUAUAUGAGCUUAUAUGCUUAUGUACUUGUAAUGAAAAUGAGAUGGCAUGUUUGAAUAUGAAUUGGCAUAGUUAAGAUUGGUAUUUGGUUGGUUGGUUUGGAUGACAUUUGAUUGUUUGUAUAGAAAUGGAUAGUUUUGUAAUAGGUUAAGCUUAUAUUGAAUUGGUUUUGAUUAGAAAUGGUUACAUGACUUGUUUUGGUAUGAAAUGUUACGAGUUUGGAAUGUUUUUAAGUGAGCAUAAUGGUUGGUUUGAUUGGAAAUUAUGAAAUAGGUACCAAAUGACUCAUUUUUAUCAAAUACAGGGUCCUCGUCUCGAUGAGCAUCUUCCCUCAUCGCAACAUCGGUUGAUAGUAUGUGACAUCGCAACGUCAAGUAGCUUGACAUCGUGACGUGACAUACUAUUUUGGCGACGUCACGAUGCAGAAAAGAUGAUGUCAUGACGGUCAUGGUGAAUGGUGAAUGGCAACAACGGUCAUGGUGAUUGAUGAUCGUAAACUGAAAAAACAAGUUUUUAAUUUUUAGGUUUUUGAAAGAUUUACAGAGAGAAUGAGAAGUGAGAGGGGGGACUGAAUAUUGGUAAUUAAGUUUUAUGUUGGCACAUAUAAGAAAUUGAAAGCAUGCAAGCAGUAGAUGCCGAAAAAAGCAGUGGUGAAAGUCUUGAGAAUUUUUAUAGAUCUGGACUUUUAUGAUGAAUUUUAAGAAAACUAAGAUGGGAAAGAAAGAGAGGAGAAUUUGAUGAUUAUUUUGGUGAAGAAUGGCAUGAUUCUGGGUUGUUCGCCGUUAGGGUGGCAAUUGUUAUCAGAAUCUGGAAUUUAAAAAUGUUUUUUUUUUGGCAAACAAUGAAGAUUCCGUUUGAAUGUUCUUCUCAAAGUUAAGAGAGAGGCAACACAUUUAACACAUUUAGUUUUUUUUUAAAAAUAUUUUUACAAAAAUAAAAAUAAAAUUUAAUUUAUUAAAGGGCAUAUUUAUUAUUCGAGUAUAUUUUUUUUACUAUUACAUAGCUAUACCUCUCAACCAAACACACAAAUACUAUUACAAUACUCAUUCCAUUAAAUCCAACCAAACCAUUGGUAUGCCUAUUUAAUUCCAUUAUAGUCUUAUUUCAUUUCUACAAAAUGACUAUUCCAUUAUAGUCUUAUUUCAGUUUAGUGAACCAAACGUGCUGUAAUGUAAGUGAUUGAUUUUAUUACGUGGUUACCAUCAAAGAUCCCCAAAUUGGCAAUAUCUCAUUCAAUCCCCCCACAAUUUCUCCUUUUAUUUCUUCACUAAAAAGUUUUUUUCCCCUUCCCUUUUUUUUUCUUUGAUAUUUUCCAUCAAGCUUUGGGAAGAUGGUUUUGCUCUCUUGACAUCAAGAAUGGAAGGUUUGUUCUUUUAUUUUUGAAAAAUUAGAAUUAAAUUGUAUAUUUUUACGAUAAUAAAAAUGUAAAAAUCCGAAAUUUAAUACGAAAUUUAAAGGAUUAUAUUUUUUAACAUGUUUAAAAAUCUGAAUUUUUUGUUUAUUUCUGGUAGAAAAUAAUUAGAUUAGAGAAUCAUUAAUGUUAUUUAUGGAAAUUUAAGAUUGACUAUUCUUUAUUAAAAUAUACAACUACUUGUUGCAAUUCAAAUAUGCAAAAACCGAUUUAGGAUUUUGUUUUCCUCUUUGUUUCUUGAUGAUGAUGAUUGUACUGAUCCCACAUAUGCACCAAUUCUGGUAUAUGUUAGGGCAAGCACAGCAAAUCAAUAAGGAAAUGUUGGUAGAGGAAAGCCUUGGACCGGAAUUACCAACCUCAAGAUGUUUGGUCAACAAUAUUUUAAUCAAGCAUUAACUUGGUGGUAAGUGUUAGAGACAAGUUUCACCAGUGUUUUGAAAUUUUCAUUAGAGCUACCAUUGGGUUUAACAGCCUUGCAAGCCAGCUCUUUUUGAACUCUAAUUUUCUCUCUCAUUUUCUUCCCUUCUUGGCUGCACAAUAUCAACUUCAAUGCUUUCUUUGCUCCUUCUUUUGUCAAUGUUCCACCUUCUAACCCCAACCCAAAUCCCCAUACAACCUCCACUGUACGAGUGUUCAAUUGUUGGUCUCCAAAAAAUGGCCUGCAGAUCAUUGGCACACAUCCAUUAAUACUUUCCAGGACUGAAUUCCAUCCGACAUGACUUACAAAAGCCCCAACUGAUGGAUGUUCCAAUAUUUUCUGCUGAGGAGCCCAUGGAACUAUCUUUCCUUUGGAGCUGGUUCUUUCCAGGAAUCCUAGUGGCAGCUGUUUCUCAGGACUUCCCCUCAAAGACCAAAGAUAUGGAAACUCACAUUCUUCCAGGGCUUCACAUAAUGCAUGUAGCUCAUGGGGUGGUGGGGUUAUCACGCUUCCAAAGCUGAUGUAUACCACCGACGCUGCCUCAUGCUUGCUCAUCCAAUCCAAGGUCCCAUGCGAGUCAUCCACUGUGGAACUGGAAACUGAUACCAGAUUGAAGGGACCAACGUUGAGGAACGUACUGAAUCUUAAUUUCAGCAUGUUCACCACUGUAUUAUCCAAGUCUUCGUAUGAAUUUGUGGCAACUGCCGCGGCGCGUGACAGUGACACUCCCAUUUUAUACAACAAUGCCGGCAUGGGGGCGUCAAUGUCUCCGGAGGUUAAUCCAUUGGGUAAGUCAGCAACACGUAUGCUAGAAAAAUGGGGAAGAAAAUGAAGUGGUUUGUCUUUAGGACCUGCAAAUUUAUGAAUAUUCAUAUUUGUUCAGCACCCAAUUGUUUUUGGAGGUAACAAAGUGUAAUUUUAAUAUUAAAAUCAACAACUUUUAUACCUAAAAGUCUUAGGUUAAAGGUUUAAAGUUUUUUUAAUAUAUUAGCUUUCAGUAAAUUCUUCAAAAAUCCUAUAGAUUGCAAUUAAUAUGCUUCACGGUCAAUUUAAUUAAUUGAUUUUGGACCAAUUGUUGUUGUAACAAGAAUAAAGUUAUUCUCUUUCAUGCAUGAAAUUGGUAAGUUUAUGAGCUAGUGUGUUAAAACCUACCUACCUAAUAAAAACCAUCCAUAUCCUACCUAUCACAAAAAAGGGAUUCAAAAGUUAUUAAGCUAGUUAGGUUGAGUAGUAAUUUUUUUAGAUUAAAAUUAAAUUGUAUAAUUUUACGAUAAUAACAAUAUAAUUUUAUCAUUUUAAUAAUCUAUAUCAUAUGUAUGAAUCUUUACCGUUAAUUCCUACAUGGUGACGAAUAAUAUCGGAGUCGACAUGAACGAAGAGUGCCCUGGGACUAGCGGUCCAAAGAGCCACCCAAGGGAUGUUAAGCUGAUCCGCGAUAUCUGCCCCAAAUGCAUAAAAUGCAUCUGUUAUCAAACAAUCAAAUGGUUUACCAGUUUCAAACACAACAGCAUUUAUAGCCUUCAUAAAAUUUCCAGGUACCGCCUUAAGGAAAUAGUCGACUGGCUCGUGAGGAUUUCCCCUAAAACUAUACCCCACAGGUAAUCCAUCCCAUACAUUAAAAGGCUUGAUUUUAUCAAGAUUUUUGGGAAAAGUUGAGUUGUUGGAUUGUUGGGUGCUAAGGAAGGAAAACAUGGUGUGGGGGCAGGCGUCUGAUAGCUGGCGGAUGAGGUUGAGAAGAGGGACAGCAUGGGUGCCGAAGGGGAAAGCCAACACUGCUAUGUGUU
rnacentral:lncRNA from 1 species